AUGAACGCUAGCUACAGGCUUAACACAUGCAAGUCGAGGGGCAGCAUGGUCUUAGCUUGCUAAGGCCGAUGGCGACCGGCGCACGGGUGAGUAACACGUAUCCAACCUGCCGUCUACUCUUGGACAGCCUUCUGAAAGGAAGAUUAAUACAAGAUGGCAUCAUGAGUCCACAUGUUCACAUGAUUAAAGGUAUUCCGGUAGACGAUGGGGAUGCGUUCCAUUAGAUAGUAGGCGGGGUAACGGCCCACCUAGUCUUCGAUGGAUAGGGGUUCUGAGAGGAAGGUCCCCCACAUUGGAACUGAGACACGGUCCAAACUCCUACGGGAGGCAGCAGUGAGGAAUAUUGGUCAAUGGGCGAGAGCCUGAACCAGCCAAGUAGCGUGAAGGAUGACUGCCCUAUGGGUUGUAAACUUCUUUUAUAAAGGAAUAAAGUCGGGUAUGCAUACCCGUUUGCAUGUACUUUAUGAAUAAGGAUCGGCUAACUCCGUGCCAGCAGCCGCGGUAAUACGGAGGAUCCGAGCGUUAUCCGGAUUUAUUGGGUUUAAAGGGAGCGUAGAUGGAUGUUUAAGUCAGUUGUGAAAGUUUGCGGCUCAACCGUAAAAUUGCAGUUGAUACUGGAUAUCUUGAGUGCAGUUGAGGCAGGCGGAAUUCGUGGUGUAGCGGUGAAAUGCUUAGAUAUCACGAAAAACUCCGAUUGCGAAGGCAGCCUGCUAAGCUGCAACUGACAUUGAGGCUCGAAAGUGUGGGUAUCAAACAGGAUUAGAUACCCUGGUAGUCCACACGGUAAACGAUGAAUACUCGCUGUUUGCGAUAUACAGCAAGCGGCCAAGCGAAAGCGUUAAGUAUUCCACCUGGGGAGUACGCCGGCAACGGUGAAACUCAAAGGAAUUGACGGGGGCCCGCACAAGCGGAGGAACAUGUGGUUUAAUUCGAUGAUACGCGAGGAACCUUACCCGGGCUUAAAUUGCAGAUGAAUUACGGUGAAAGCCGUAAGCCGCAAGGCAUCUGUGAAGGUGCUGCAUGGUUGUCGUCAGCUCGUGCCGUGAGGUGUCGGCUUAAGUGCCAUAACGAGCGCAACCCUUGUUGUCAGUUACUAACAGGUUCCGCUGAGGACUCUGACAAGACUGCCAUCGUAAGAUGUGAGGAAGGUGGGGAUGACGUCAAAUCAGCACGGCCCUUACGUCCGGGGCUACACACGUGUUACAAUGGGGGGUACAGAGGGCCGCUACCACGCGAGUGGAUGCCAAUCCCAAAAACCUCUCUCAGUUCGGACUGGAGUCUGCAACCCGACUCCACGAAGCUGGAUUCGCUAGUAAUCGCGCAUCAGCCACGGCGCGGUGAAUACGUUCCCGGGCCUUGUACACACCGCCCGUCAAGCCAUGGGAGCCGGGGGUACCUGAAGUGCGUAACCGCGAGGAGCGCCCUAGGGUAAAACUGGUGACUGGGGCU
rnacentral:rRNA from 1 species